rnacentral:rRNA from 1 species
GAUGAACGCUGGCGGCGUGCCUAAUACAUGCAAGUCGAGCGAACAGAUAAGGAGCUUGCUCCUUUGACGUUAGCGGCGGACGGGUGAGUAACACGUGGGUAACCUACCUAUAAGACUGGGAUAACUUCGGGAAACCGGAGCUACUACCGGAUAACAUUUGGAACCGCAUGGUUCUCAAGUGAAAGAUGGUUUUGCUAUCACUUAUAGAUGGACCCGCGCCGUAUUAGCUAGUUGGUAAGGUAACGGCUUACAAAGGCGACGAUAGAUAGGCGACGUGGGAGGGUGAUCGGCAACACUGGAACUGAGACACGGUCCAGACUCCUACGGGAGGCAGAAGUAGGGAAUCUUCCGCAAUGGGCGAAAGCCUGACGGAGCAACGCCGCGUGAGUGAUGAAGGGUUUCGGCUCGUAAAACUCUGUUAUUAGGGAAGAACAAACGUGUAAGUAACUGGGCACGUCUUGACGGUACCUAAUCAGAAAGCCACGGCUAACUACGUGCCAGCAGCCGCCGUAA